rnacentral:rRNA from 1 species
GAUGAACGCUAGCGGCAGGCCUAAUACAUGCAAGUCGGACGGGAUCGGGGAGCUUGCUCCCCGUGAGAGUGGCGCACGGGUGCGUAACACGUAUGUAACCUACCUUUAUCAGGGGAUAGCCUCUCGAAAGAGAGAUUAACACCGCAUAACAUCACAUGAUAGCAUUAUCGAGUGAUCAAAUAUUCAUAGGAUAAAGAUGGGCAUGCGGGACAUUAGCUAGUUGGGGGGGUAACGGCCCACCAAGGCGACGAUGUCUAGGGGAUCUGAGAGGAUGACCCCCCACACUGGUACUGAGACACGGACCAGACUCCUACGGGAGGCAGCAGUAAGGAAUAUUGGUCAAUGGACGCAAGUCUGAACCAGCCAUGCCGCGUGCAGGAGGACGGCCCUACGGGUUGUAAACUGCUUUUGUACCGGAAUAAACCCUUUUACGUGUAAGAGGCUGAAUGUACGGUAAGAAUAAGGAUCGGCUAACUCCGUGCCAGCCGCCGCAGUAACAC